GGAUGUGAGGGCGAUCUGGCUGCGACAUCUGUCACCCCAUUGAUCGCCAGGGUUGAUUCGGCUGAUCUGGCUGGCUAAGCGGGUGUCCCCUUCCUCCCUCACUGCUCCAUGUGCGUCCCUCCCAAAGCUGCGAGCUAGGUCGAAGAGGACGGCCUUCCCCGAAUAGAGACUAGAGACGGAUGGUCUUCAGUCGAGGGUAUAUGAGUAGCUGUGCUCCCCUGCUAGAAUCUCCAGACAAGCUCUCAAGAAACCAAAGAAAGAGGAAAUACAUCAUAACUUAAAAAUAUUUUACUUUAGGGGAUCGGACAGUA
ensembl:misc_RNA 7SK 7SK RNA